CCUUCAUUUUCCCGGGGAAAUAGAAAAAGGGAGAGAGAGAGAGAGAAGGCAGAAAAAAAACGAGCCAAUGUACUCAGCGAUUCGCUCGCUUCCGCUCGAUGGAAGUGUUGGUGGGCAUGGCGAGUACCAUGGAGCUCUCGAUGGAACUAACCUUCCCGGCGACGCGUGCUUGGUCUUGACGACGGACCCGAAGCCCCGCCUCCGUUGGACAGCGGAGCUCCAUGAGCGGUUCGUCGACGCCGUCACCCAGCUCGGUGGACCCGACACCUUUUAGAGCGUUCGUGAGGAAGGCAACUAAAUCCAGGAGGGCAGAAGGGGGAAUUGCUGACUAGAAGGGAGAAGGACAGAUCGACAAGCAAGAAUAAAGGAAGUUUCGGCUGCUGUGACAGUUGGAGGCACACAGAGGGAGGGACGUGUUGGUGGCAGGAGUUUACAUACAUAGGGAAUGCUUGUAUAGGUUGUUAAGGCCUUGCUCAAUUGUCCAUGAGAAGGCUGAAUAUAUAUCUAUCGUCUUUUGGCUUUUGAGAGAAGUUGUGAGGUGGGUAAGAGUUUUUGAUCUCUGUAAUGGGAAAAACUCUGUUAUCGUUCUUAUUUUACUAAGUAAUACAAGCAUCCCAUUAUCUAAA